UACGUAGGGUGCGAGCGUUAAUCGGAAUUACUGGGCGUAAAGCGUGCGCAGGCGGUUUUGUAAGCCAGAUGUGAAAUCCCCGGGCUUAACCUGGGAAUGGCAUUUGGGACUGCAAGGCUGGAGUGCGGCAGAGGAGACUGGAAUUCCCGGUGUAGCAGUGAAAUGCGUAGAUAUCGGGAGGAAUACCGAUGGCGAAGGCAGGUCUCUGGGCUGACACUGACGCUCAUGCACGAAAGCGUGGGGAGCAAACGGG
rnacentral:rRNA from 1 species